GGGCGUCCUGUCAGCGCUGCCGCCGCCGGGGGGGAUGGGGCGGGUUUGGUGCUGUGAGGCGUUUGACGGGAGCGGUGUGGGAUGAAGGGAGGAGCUGGGGGGUCCUGGGUGCUGCGAAGGGUCUGCUAACGGCAGCAGGCAACGCUGGGGGACGGGUGGGUGGUGAGGCGCGGCGCGGCCUGGACUGAGGUGGGGUGCUGGGCUGGUGGCGGUGACCUGGGUUCGGGUGUCAGAGCGGGACACGGGGUGCUGGCAGAGUCUCUGGGGGUGCCAGGUGGGUGAGGACCAGCAGCAGGGCUGUGGCGGUGGGGGAGCUGCUGCCGGGGUGCUGAGAGCACAGGCAGGAGGAAACGGCAGCAGGGACGGAGCUGCCCCGAGGGCAAAGCAGUGUGUUGUCCGGGAGCCCGCUGGAUCAGUUGAUGAUGGAGCUUGUCACACCAGGCACCAAAGCCGUCGCAGGAUGGACAUCUGCUGUGGAGAUGAAGGCAGCUGCCUCCAGCAGCGCCGUGCUUUGUGGGACACAUUUGGCCCGCAGCUGCUGCUAGCCAAAUCUGCUCUUCUGCCUUGUGAUGUCCCGAUAAACUGGUGUCGUCUGGGAUCUGGCUGCUGUUAUCAGAGGGCUUUGUGUGUGGAGAGGGUGGGCUGGGAGUUUUCCAGCGCCUGCGUUAUUUGAUGCGGCGUUUUAAUGCCUCUUUGUCUAUUUUCCAUUUCUGGGAGUUGUUUGUUGGAUUGCAGCCUCGCAGACGGGGUGGGUGGCACUUUGGGGUGCCCAGUGGACUGGUUGUGCUGGGCAGAGGACCGGGGAGCUCUGUGCUGUCUCUCUGGCGUCUCAGUUUUCCCUCAAACUGAAUAACCGUUAGUGGUAGGAACCCUCUGAAACACCAGCAAAUAUAACUAGAGCAGCCCGGGGGUGCGGGUCAGCAGUCAGAACUGAUCCAGACGGCUCGAUGUAACAACUUCCUGCUUGUCGUCUGAGCGUGUAGCUGCCCCGAGCGUGUUUCUGGCCUGUCGUGAUUGCACUGGUAGGCGCUGAAACCCCCUUCAACGGCUGCGUGCCCUGACUCCAGUGACCAGAGGGUUAAUGCCGAGGUUUGCAUGAGUUCGGUGCUCACCCAAGUGAGUAGGUACAGAGGGGAAGCUGUGGGGCAGAGGAGGCAGGAGGGCACAGGUGGAGCACGGAGGGAAAGACGGGCCGUGAAGACGCGGAGCGUUUUACCGGGAUGCGCAGCGCUGAGCCCUUUGGCUCGGCUGAGCAGCAAGCACGCGUGCUGGGCUCGCAGCGAGGCGAGGGGAGGUGCUACAGGGAAGGAUGGGCAGCUUUCCAGAGUUCGGGAAGCGCUGGGCGAAGCGGGGCUUGUGGGGUACUUGUCACUGCGUAACCAUCUUCACCGGUGGGGCGGCGCCUUCCCGGCUGAUAGCGGGGCCGGAGGACGGCCCGUGUUCUUCUCAAAGUGUUGACCGAAGCUGGCGUCGUUGUGUCAAAGCCACGGCUGUCAAAGCACGGCCCCGUUGUACCGCUGACGAAACUCAGCCGUGGGGUGUCUAGAGAACGCCAGGCAGGUCUCGUGGAGAGCAUGCCAUGCCAGCAGGGCUAGGUGUGUACUCGGGCGUCUUCCUCCCGGCCUUGAGCUCCUGUUUCUAGCACGAAUGGCGUCGCAGGGACGGGACGAGGCUGUCAAGUGCCGAAAGCACCGGAGCAGAGGCAGAGGGUGGUGACAUCGUCUGGUGGUGGGCAUUAGCUCUUUGCACGGGGCAGAACGCCGCCUUGCAGCCUGCUCAGAGCGUUCGAUUUUAAUUAUGGAAGGCGAAUCCCUGCUGCUCCCGGUUAAUACACCGAAACAGGGAGUGCCGGGUGACCUCUUUGACAGAGAACUAUGUUGGUAGGUUUGAGCUGGAAGAACUCCGUAGGUGACUGGCCUCCACUGAGUGUGGGAUUUCGGAGGAGAAAAGGAAGUCUGCGCUGAAUGACACCAUAUGGUGGAGACAUGCAGCAAGCAAAUGGCUUGGUUGGGAGUCCUGCCAGAGGAAGAAGUAUUGAAUCAACUGCGCUCAAUAGAUUAAUUUACUUCGGUUGUAUUUUGAGAAAGGCUGGGUGAUUUUAUGACCAUUAGUGACAUUUGCAGCUCUGCAGCCGAAGAUAAAGGUAAUCAGACGUCAUUCUUCAGGGCCCCAGCUAAUCAGCGCAGUUGUCAGAGCGGGCUCUUCUCCUCCAGCUCCCUGUGCGCAGAAGUGCACGCGGGACGACAAAUGUAGCCUCAAAUAUCCCCGCUGAAAGCCGGGUAUGGGGCUCAGCGAAACCGCUCGUCCUUCCCCAGGCGUGUGGCUGCUGCGUGCCAGCCUGGAAGCACCGCUCGCUUGUCUUUCUCCCGCUGUUUAAACGCGGUGAGCUGCUGCUGCAUCGCUGGUGGCGGGCCGGGGCUGCGCUGUGCUCGGUGCUGUGCACCCAGAGCAAGAUGUGUCCCCGCGCCACGGCAAUACGGGGCGAGGUGAGAGAUAACGGAGCGAUAGGAGGAGGAGAACGCCGGGCAGGUUGGAACUUGGCCCCUUCGCUGCCUAAACCUCCUCCAGGGCUGCAGGCGUGGCGGAGGAGGAAUUAGCGGGAGCCUCGAGGGGCGGCUUUAGGGAUGUUUUGCGAAGUUUCUCCCACGGUCGUAGGGGAGGCGCGAAGGGGCUGGGCUUGGUGCAGCUCUGGGAAGCGGAGCCGUCAGCUGGAGGGGGACGCCCGGUCCCCGCGUCGUGCUGUCCACCUGGGGACAACGGGGUGAGACGUGGCCACGGGGCGGGCCGAGAGGCAGAGCUUUGCGGCCACAGCGCGCCUCGGAGAAUUGAUUUGAUUUCGGCUAAAUAUCCACGUCUACCAGAUAAGCGGUCGCUGGUGACUGAGGGCGGUUUUGUUUUAAAUUCAUUAUCUGAGCUUUGCGGCUAAUAAAGUUCAGCAGAAUACAUUUACUUCCCUCCCCUAAUAGGAAUCAACCGUGCUCGGCCGUGGCUUGCGGGCCGUGCUUUAUCCGUGCCCUGUGUAUCCAGCCCUCAGUACGAGGGGAAAUUGUUCUUUCCAUUCCGGCCGCGUAGCGCCGAUCUGAUACAAUAUUUGAACGGAUUAUCUCAAUGCUCUGUUUGUCCCAGACCAAUUUUUGUUUUGGCCUAUAAAGUGAAUCUUCCUUUCAGCGGCUUCUGUGGUACAGGAUGUAGUUACAUGCAUCAGCUAGUUCAAAAGGCCCAUCUACAGCCUGGAUUUAAAGCUGAAUAAACCCACAAAACCCUUAGCUAGGACUAUAAAUGUCACUGUAUCUUUAUAUAUGUCUGUACUUUUUUCUUUUUUUAAGAGAACGGGAUUACUGCGUGCAGCUAUAACUGGAAGCCCUUUGAUAAUUCAGUGGGUAUUUUAAACCUAGCAAUGAUACGCUUUCAUAAAACCGCACAUCCCUGUUUUCUGAAGGAUGCUAAUAAGAUGGUUAGCCUUUCUUUCAUGUUCAACGUGUUUAUGAGUGCGCUUACCCAUUUAGCUGCAUCUCUGAAUUUAAUGCCCCGCUCUGAUUUCACAGUAAUUGACAGGAGCCUUUUUUUUUUUCUCCCCGUGAGUCCCCGCUCACUGUCUGGAAAAUGCACUCUCCUCCUUGCUAACCCCAUCAGUCUGUCUCCUGGUGGUGCCACAAAGAAAACCCUGGCCACCAAGGAUAAUGAUGUUUAUAAACAAGCCAAUCUGAUAGAAAACACGCGGUUCGCUUAACCCCGCGGGGACCGAGCGGCGCGGCUGCCGGCCGCCUGUGCCCGGCCUUGGGUUCCUCUGCGCGCCUGCCCCCCUCCAAAGGCCGCACGCGCUGCCACGCUGUGCCGCCCGUUAUCUCAGCAGCAUCUGCAGUUCCCUUCUCUCUUACAGAUGCCGCAGCCUGCUUAGUUUCGUGCAAGUGACGGGCUGCCCUUAGCCUCCUGCCGGCCGGCUCUGCGGCUCCUCGGCCGGGCGACGUCUCCACCGACCUGCAGGAGACGCGUCCCGCUCCUCACCCUGCUCCUCGCCCUCCAGCCCAGCCUCUGCCGGGCGUCCUCCCUGCUCGCUCCAGGCUACAUCCCAGCGCCCAGACGUUUGUCUGUUAGCUGUGCCGCCUCAAGGGCCUGUCUCUCCUCGGUCCAAGUUCGUUUCGGCGUUGUGUUUGCAAGCAGAGGAGUGCUAAUCCAUCCGUGUGUGUGCAGGGAGGGUUGCUUGUCCCACGUAGCGGCUGCGCGCAGCGGGGAACUCAGCUGAGUUAUUUUUUCCAGUCUACCGAGCUGUCAGGAAAUGCUUUCUGUCUUCCUAGCUAGUGCGCUCAUAAGACCAAUUAAAGGAAAAUAAUAAAUACAUUAGAAACCAGUCUGUGAACAGCUUUCCUUAGUCUUAAAUAUUCACUAGGGGGAGAAGGCAGGGUACGAGUCGCCAGUUAUCUUUACCGAGUAGUAACGGGCGUAGUAGCCAAGGCUGUUACUUGGCUGGUGAUUUAAAUUGUGUAUACAAAGCAUGUAACCUAUGCUGGCAGCUGCUGAAAUAAAGUCCACUUCUAUAUUGGCUUGCUUGUCUUCCAGCCUUUUAAAUCAGCUUACUUUAUACCUUAGAGGAUACUUUUAUUUCUAUAUAUAUCCUCGCGCCUAUUGGCUACCCCAGCUAAUCCUGUGAUCAGCCAUGCAGCGGUGUCACUCGAGUCGAAUAGGGAGCGAUGCUGAUCGUUUGCUCGUAGGCUGUCAUACUAGCCCAGAAAUAGCAUCCGUCUACAAUGGGAGAGAAGCUCUAUUAACGUUUCCAGCAGUUCCUCUUCCCGACCCCUGAGAAUUGCUCCCUGGUAGAUAAGCAACGCUUCCGAAUGCGUUUCUCUGCGCUCGCUAUUUUGGAGUUGGAUCCUGAAACGUAAGGGCCCCUAAUCCCGCUCUGCUCUGGGAUACGCUCCUCUGCUCUUAGCAAGUGGUGCUGCGGAUAGGAUUAGCAUUUCAACAACUUCUUUUUUUAACUGCGAGCAAUAAACUAAAAUAAUAGGGCCUGAUUCAGGGCCCUCUGCAGUUGGCAGCGGUGCUCGAGCUGGUAUGCGUUGGCUUUGGGUCAGCCCUGUAAGAACGGGGACUUCACAGCCUUUCCCUGCAAAGGAGGGGGAACGUGUGAAUUUUAGAGUUCCUGCUCUCGUGGGGUCUGUCCACACCGAGCCGCGCUCCGUGGAUUUACAAGCCAACAAACACAGCCGUAAAUUUGCCAGCAGGUGAAAAGCAAAUGCGCGUUGCUCGCCAGGCAGUUAAAACUUGUGUUUUUUAAUGAUGUCAAGGGCACCGAGGACACGCACGUCAACCGGCAGGCGUUAGGGGCGUUCCUGCCGCUCUGCCUUUCCCCUGCCCUCAGCCCCAUGAAGCGCAGCCCGUCGGCAGAAGGAGCCGGGCGCCGUGGCCGCGGGAAGGAGCUGCAGGGCUGCGGGGAGCUGCGGCAGCUGGCUCUGCCCGACGCGGCGCUUCAAAUCCAUCAGCCACGGGCCCAGCGGCGGGAGCCAGCUGUGAGCGCCCUCGGGCUCAGCGCGGGGCGUCGCAGGCCUGCUCUCUUCGACUACCGGCACCCCGUGGGCACGGCGCCCUCUGCCAAGCGGGGCCUGUUCCUGAUUAACGCCUCUCGAGCUGGGCCCGCAUUCCCAGGUUUUUACCAGCCUGCUUCCGAUAGAGGGGAUGCAGCCCCAGGGGCAGGCUCGGGGUAAGAUUUCGGUUUUGCUGUUAUGGUUCCCUGCGUGAGCUCGGAAUUUCUGGCCCUCAGCUCGACACGGGGUGUUCUAAAAGCACAGGCACAAUGGCAGUCACGCAGAUUUUUACAAAUACCCUCCAAAGCCAGUUUUAACAAGUUCCUCUUCUUCUCCCCGUUCCUUUCACGUCGUGUAUUUGGAGCUGUGUCUGGCAAUUAAAAGGAUAACCAAUAAAUUACUUCCCAAUCAGAAAUGCUUAGAGGGGGGGAUCAAACCUAACUUGCGUUUGAAUCUCGGCAUGUUCUCGCUCUGCGCUACUGAAAGCUGUGGCAUCGUGAUCCGUAGGGCCGUGUCCUUUCCGAAAUGCUCCGUGCCACCUUCGCACUGAGCAGGCUCAGAUAGUCCUUGGCUCCCAGUAGGAAUAUUUAGAGUUGCGAGAGCAUCCGUGCACCGCAGGACCAGGUGGAAUCGGGGUGAUUUGCGCCUCUUGGUUGCACGCCGGGAUCCCGAGCGCUCCCCCAGCCGUCGCAGAGAGGUCUCCGAGCGGUGGCACCGACGGAAGCCCGGGUGCGCUGCUGUAACGUGCCCGGCUGUAAAUGAGCUGACCUGCAAAUUCUGUUUCCUAAUCCUGAGUGAUACUGUCAGCUCAGAGAGCUGAGCCUGGCUAAUGACUGCAAUCCACUGUGCUUUUCUUAGCGGGGACGUGUGGUGAUCUGAGAUAGUUGUUAAGUGCUACAUCCUGAGAAGCAGAACUGCACGUGCCCCAUGGGUCCGGCAUGUUUUAGGCAGAUAAACGGGGUUUGAGAUGAUCAGGGAGUUACUAUGAAAAGAAGCGAUGUCAGGUACACAGUAACCUACAGCUAACCAGGAGGGAGAUUAAAUUAAUGGGGUUUUCCCUCUGAUAAAGAUAAUGAGGAGCUUGCAAGGACUUGGGUUGCAGCUCCUACACAUGAUAUCCUCGGGCGCUGUCUUCCUGGCACAGGCAGUGCCAAGCAGCUGCAUGACGUGAGCGGUGCAGCCAGUGGUGCACCCCACUGAGUGACAUUCGUGCUGUCUGAGACCUUGCUGCUGGUCCUUGAGAUGAAGGAAAAUUGGGGGCAGAAGAGGAAACGGGAAGGGGUUCAAGCUGUCCUGGAAUCCACCGCCAUACAGAACCUGUUUUGGGGGAAGGGGGGCAUGGCGUGGUGAGAGGAGAGAGUCAGAGGGGAAAUAACAG